CCCUGACGACUUUGUAUCCAGUGGAGAAAUAGCAACCAAGGGCUAAUAUGCAAAAAGGCAAGUCACCUUCCUAGCGUCUCUCCAAAUCCCCCAAAUCAGAUCGACAUCCCUGGCGGCGGCCGACGCGUUCCUUGGUGGCUGACUCGUCCCUGCCGGCGGAGGGGGCGGCGGAAGGCGGAGGGCGCGCUCCCCGCGGCGGCUGGCGUUUUCCUCGCGGCAGAAGAGAGGGGGCUCUUCCUUGCGGCAGCGGCGGGCGUGUUCCUCGCGACGGCGGCGGCGACGGGCGUGUUCCUCGCGACGGCAGCGGCGGGCUUGUCCCUUGCGGCGGUGGUGGCAGCUCGGCUGCGUGGGGGAGGUGAAGCAGCGGCGGCAACGGCCGCGUGGUCGAAGGGAAGGGGCGCCUAGGGUUCCUCCUUCCCCAACCCCAACCAGCUCUGCAGGAACCGACGCCCCAAGCUCGCCAACGAGAUCUCGCUCUCACCGUCAACACCAGAAAAAGCUUCAACCCGUAAGACUGAUCUCCUCUCUGUCCUUGCCUCCUUCCCUGUGUCUCUCCAUUAAUUUCCUUGGAGUACUUGAUGGCUAGAUCAUGCACUUCAAGUGUUUGUGGAAAUGUGUAAGUAAAAUAUACAUGUAGCUUACCGUUUGUGAUUUGAAAACUGGCUUGGCCUACCAUGUAGAGUUCGGUUGUGUGAUUUGAAUAUAAUGUCAAUAUUGGCUUGGUCCGGUUGAUGCGUUGUGUAGAAUAAUGGCAAUACUGAGAGUUAGAUUAUCCUGAGAGUUAGAUUAUCCUCUUCAAAACCAGAGUAGUAGAAUAAUGGCAAUACUGCCGUGCCCAACCGGGCCAUAAUAUACAUAUAGUCUUGGUUUUGCUUGUAGUAAAAUAUACAGCAUAAUGUUACUGCAUAUUGAUACUUACACCAUCAGGACUUGUAGUAUAUUUUAGUAGUACAAUGUUUAGAAAGGAUAUGCAGUUCUGUGAUGACUAUCUUCAAAUACUGUUCUGUGAAGACUGUCUUUGUAUAAUGUUGCAGUAUAAUAUUUGAAGACUGUCUUUGUAUACAAUUCUAGUAUAAAGUUAUAGAGUUCCAUGGCUGCUGUUGUUGUGAUAUUAAAUUUUAGUAUAAUGUUACUGCAUAUAAAAUAAUUACAUAAGCAAGCUGCGUGUUUAGUUUGAUAAAGUACAAGUUUUCUUUUGAAAAUACAGUGGCAAUGUGACAUAUAUAUGGGGUACUGUAGGAUUGUUAUUUUGAUAAAUAUAAGCCUGAUUUAACCGAAAUUCAGUAGAUCAAUUAGUUUAUCAUGUCGGGUGGACUGGUUGAAAAUGAUUGACAUAGCUAGCCUGAUUCCUUUCGUGAUUGAGGUGUUUACCGGCAGAUAUAAUGAUUUGUAGCUAAUGUGGUUAUGUUGUUAUAUUUUACAUUUCUAGUACUUUGGUUCACUUGUAGAGUGCUUGUGCAGGAAAAGAUAUAGUAUGGAUAAGAGUUGGAUGAGGUUGCCUGAUAGGUUUUCAAGUGAUUACAUUUCAGGGGUGAAUGCAUUCAUUGAUUUUGCUUGUCAACAUAACAGCGGCAAUGAUAAGAUGCGUUGCCCUUGUGAAACUUGUAUGAAUAUAAGUCAGCAGAGUGUUAGUCAAGUUCGAACCCAUUUGUUAUUGUAUGGCAUACAAACUUCGUACACAAAAUGGAUAUUCCAUGGAGAACAAGUUAGCAAUGAUGAAGACCAAGUUGAUGAGUCACUUGAAGAUGAGGAAGAUCUUGAUGAUUUUGAUGGAUUUGAUAUGGUCCAAGAUCUGCUAGGAGAUACCCAUAGAGCCACGGUUGGGGUUGACGAGCAAGAGAACCAUAAUCCUACUGGAGGUAGCAUUCCGGAGCCCAAUGAGUCAUCGACCAGAUUUGACGGCUUGCUGAGAAGUUCACAACGUGAGCUAUACCCGGGCUGCAAAGGCCACUCGGUGCUAUCCUUUGUUUUAAAGCUGGUACACCUCAAAGAUCUUAACCAUUGGAGCAACAAAUCUUUUGACAUGUUACUCAAGCUUCAGAAGGAGGCUUUGCCAGCCGGUAACUCGCUUCCAGCCACGUACUAUGAAGCAACGAAUAUGUUGAGAGAUCUAGGGCUAGGUUAUGAAAGUAUUGAUGCUUGCAUAAAUGAUUGUGUUCUAUUCUGGAAGGAGCAUGAGGACAAGGAUGAGUGCCCAGUUUGUAAGGAAUCGAGGUGGAAGACACAGAAGGGCAAGGGGAAGCAAGUACCUCAGAAAGUGUUGCGCUACUUUCCCUUAAUCCCUAGAUUACAACGGCUGUUCAUGAACAAGGAAAUAGCUUCAGAUUUGCGUUAUCAUAGGGAUAAGAGAGUUGUCGAACCAAAUGUGUUGAGGGGUCCUCCGGAUGGCGAUGCUUGGAAACAUAUGGAUAAGAAAUAUCCCUGGAUGGAAGAAGACCCUCGCCAUUUGCGGCUCGGGGUUGGCACCGAUGGUUUCAACCCAUUUGGAAUUAUGAGUAGCUCAUAUAGUGUGUGGCCUGUCAUUGUAGUUGUGUAUAACUUGCCUCCAUGGAGAAGCAUGAAAGAGCCCUUCCUGCUCAUGACAUUAUUGAUCCCUGGGAAGAAGUCACCGGGAAGGGACAUUGAUGUGUAUUUGAGGCCAUUGGUUGAAGAACUAAAGCAAUUAUUUAAUCUAGGAGUUGUUACUUUUGACGCUGUUGAAGGAGGUAGUUUCAAUAUGCGUGCAAUAUUGCUAUGGACUAUCCACGACCUUCCAGCACUAGGUUCAGUAUUUGGGUAUUCUACAAUGGGCUACAAGGCAUGCCCUGUUUGCCUAGAUGGAACCUAUUCGCAACCACUUCGAAGCAAAAUUGGUUUCUUAGGCCAUAGGAGGUACUUGCCUAUUCGCCAUAGGUGGCGCAAAAGUAAGGCCUUCAAUGGUAAGAAAGAGAAAGCGUUGCCACCAAAACAACUAUCUGGGAAAGACAUUUUUGAAUUGCUGCAGAAGUUAGAUCAUCUCCAGGGCUUCAAAUAAGGAAAACACCCUGGAAAUAAGAAAAGAAAGGCAUCUUCAAAGGACAUGCCAGGGAAAAAUUUCACAAAGAUGAGCAUCUUGUUUGAGCUACCAUAUUGGAAGGAUCUGAAAUUGCCACACAAUCUUGAUGUCAUGCACAUUGAAAAGAACAUUUGUGAGAGCUUAUUCGGGACUUUAUUAAACAUAGAUGGCAAGUCCAAGGACACACUUAAGGCCCGCAAGGACUUAGAAGACAUGAAUAUCAGAGCAGAUCUACACUUGAAUGAUACGGGAAGUAGCGUAGAAAAGCAUCAUGCAUGGUACACAUUAACCAGAGAUGAGAAACUUGAGUUUCUGCAAUCCCUAGAAUUUAUUUGCUUCCCAGAUGGAUUUGCUGCAAAUAUAUCAAAAGGUAUAAGUAAAGAUGGGAAAUUAACUGGGUUGAAGACACACGACUACCAUAUUCUUCUUAAAAAUAUCACAUAUUAUGCUAUUCUUAAAAAUAUAUAUGUCCUGGAUUACCCCAAUGAUCGACAUGUUGCUUUAUUUGAGUGUGAACGGUAUGAUUUAGAGAGUAACAAGCCUGUGAGUAUAGCUAGUAAUACAUGUAUACAUUUUCAACAAUCAUUUGAGGCCAGGAUAUAGACCUGCUCCAACUUCUUCUUCUGAUGGAAAUGGUAUGAUCAGUUUGCCUCUGCUUCAAACAAUCAAAAUACUAUGUGAUUUGGCAAAUUUCUUCUUGAUCUUAAUCUUGAUGGUCCAAAUUUGUGAAUCACAGGCUCUCUGGUGUCGGAUGGAGGGUCCAGGUAUUCUUGAUCAGGUUGCUAGCUUUAUUUUGUGUUGUUUACCUCACCAACCAAACACGCUCCUGCAGUGCUUUCCCCUGGCCGGCACGAUUCAAUGCUGCACUUUCCCUGCUUUUCGUGCCUGCUACCACAUCUCAAGAAAGGCACAUUGCAUUGCCCAUUAAUUGUCUGCCUUACCUAGUCAUUCUAUUAGUUAAUCCCCGACACAAGCUUGUCUUUCUCGUCUUGGGCGAAUGACACGGCUUGGCACUAGUUAACUUGCCAUUUCUUCAUUGACGAUUAGCUAGCCUUAAACACUACUGGCCUCUGAAUUUUUGGGUGUGCCGGUGCACCUAGAUCCACCCCGUUGCUUCUUCAAAAUGCCAGAUCAAUCUACUUGUCUGACUGAAUUCUCUUGACCACAUUUACUCUCGCUUAGUCGAGUUCUGCCACCACCCAUGCACUCUGGUUAUUAACACCAGUUUAAGUUAAUUUAAUGCGCUCAUUUUUAUUUGAUUAGUUUGCUGCGACGCUGAUAAUAUUAAGUGUACGUACAUUAGCUCAAGUCUUGGAUGUAAUCACGUAUGCAGUCUGUUUACUUUUGCUAGAUCUGACCUGACCAUGUUCCUUAAUGUUGGUUUCACACCGAUUCGUUAGUUCAUUAUCCAGCGGUGUCUCUUGGUGGACAAUUGGAUAGUUAUUGGUUUCGACCCAUGGGAGUUGGAGAAUAAUGUGAUUCAGAGUUAGCUAGGUACAAAUGUAUAGUAGAAAUUAAAAGUAGGUAGGUGGCAAAGUAGGUAGGUGAUUCAGAGUUAGCUACGUACAAAUGUAUUUCCUGUGUAUGUGUGCAGUUUUUCUUCCUGUGAUGUUGUUGAGCUUCUGAGCUAUGGCAAAGCUGAUCAAGUGACUGGCAAUUUGGUGUCUCUAGCUUAGUUUAUUGGCAUGCUUGCACUCUUUCUGAUGUUUGUUAUGUCUGGUGUUGUUAAUGAAAUAACAUGUGCUCUGGCCACCAUUAUAUAGGAGAUGACCUUGGAGGAGCAGCGGAAAGCAAUACUCGCGCUAAAGACUGAGAAGAGAAAACUAGUUGGAUCUAAAGAAAAUUUAGUGUACAAAUGCUAAAUGUAAUGUUUGGAUCAUAUUGGGGUCUACUGAUUGGAUCAUAUGUUCAGAUCAGUACUAAACGUGGUACUGUACUUUGCAAAUGCUAGAGUGGUAUUUCCUACUUGCAAAACAAAAUUCAGUUUAGCAUGUAAUGUUUGGAUCAUAAGUUUACAAAUGUUGAUUCUGAACUUCUGAAUGUUGAUUCUGAACUGCCAAAUGUCUAAAAUUCUGAGAUUUCUUGCAUACUGCAAAUGUCAGCGUGUGACAAUAUAUUGUACCUAUGAUAUAGUUGCUUUCUCAUGCCUGUAGUUACCAAGGUUUAUAGUUUUCUGGUUACAAAAUAUGUCUAGUCUCCAACAUGUAGU
rnacentral:lncRNA from 1 species